UCUGGCUUAAUGAUGAUUUUUAAAAUUGCCGUUUACCCAUCUGAAUUUCAAAUGAUGACAAUUUAUUUAUCUGAAAAGCCAGC